rnacentral:rRNA from 1 species
CGGCCGCGGUAUCCUGACCGUGCGAAGGUAGCAUAAUCACUUGUUCUUUAAAUAAGGACUAGUAUCAACGGCAUCACGAGGGUUAUACUGUCUCCUCUCUCCAAUCAGUGAAACUGAUCUCCCCGUGAAGAAGCGGGGAUAAAUAUAUAAGACGAGAAGACCCCAUGGAGCUUUAAACUCAACAACAACUUCCCCCACAAAAAUCCUACAUAUCCCUGGAAGUACUGUUUGUUAGUUUUGGGUUGGGGUGACCGCGGAGAAAAAUUAAACCUCCACGACGAACGGAAUUAACUCCUAAUCUAAGAGCCACCACUCUAAGAAUCAAUAAAUUGACAUAAAAUGAUCCGAUAAUCGAUCAACGAACCAAGUUACCCUGGGGAUAACAGCGCAAUCCAUUUCAAGAGCUCCUAUCGACAAAUGGGUUUACGACCUCGAUGUUGGAUCAGGGUAUCCCAGUGGUGCAGCCGCU